ensembl:lncRNA
GCAGGAAGUCCUUCAUGAAGUGGGAGGAAAUGAUCUUUGAGGGUUCAAUCCUGGGCCUUAGCAAAAUGUCUUGGAUUCCAGGGGCGUGUCUUGAGCCCAAUGCUCUGACUUGCUCCAAGCCUCUGUUAGCAUUCCUCUGAAAGAGGUACUGUUAUCUCCAUUUCUCAGAGGAGGAAACUGAAGCCCAGAGAGGCUGUCACUCACCCAAGGUCACACAACUGGACCCCUUGUGCUCCUCAACCUGGGAUCUGUGUCUCCCAGGAUAUGUGGCAAUGUGCUGAGAGAAACAGAAAGCAACAGUUACUGUGUGGCCAUGAAUUUUUCUCAAAGAUUUUGGAAGUAAAUAUCAUCUGGAUUACAU